AUUGAACGCUGGCGGCAGGCCUAACACAUGCAAGUCGAACGAGUGGCGGACGGGUGAGUAAUGUCUGGGAAACUGCCUGAUGGAGGGGGAUAACUACUGGAAACGGUAGCUAAUACCGCAUACCAUCGGAUGUGCCCAGAUGGUAUUAGCUAGUAGGUGGGGUAAAGGGUCACCUAGGCGACGAUCCCUCGCUGGUCUGAGAGGAUGACCAGCGGCACUGGAACUGAGACACGGUCCAGACUCCUACGGGAGGCAGCAGUGGGGAAUAUGGCACAAUGGGCGCAAGCCUGAUGCAGCCAGGCCGCGUGUAUGAAGAAGGCCUUGGGGUUGUAAAGUACGUUCAGCGGGGAGGCGGUACCCGCAGAAGAAGCACCGGCUAACUCCGUGCCAGCAGCCGCGGUAAUAC
rnacentral:rRNA from 1 species